UGAACAUUAACCAUAUGAUUAUUAUAAACAAACAAAUAAACAAGAAAGAACAAACAAUAUAAAAAAGAACAUAAAAUUCCAGAAGAAAUAACAAAAAAUACAACAAUUAUGAAAAUUUGAUGAUGAAUUUAAAAAACAACAUGAAAGAACAAACAGUACAACAAGAAAGAACAAUCAGUACAAUAAGAAUGAACAAACAGUACAAUAAAAAAGAACAAACAGUCGACAAGAAUGAACAAACAAUAUGAGCGCGUCGUUUUUGGGGUACAGCCAGAGCUGGCUGUACCCGGGUACAACAGUCCGCAAUUAUCAUUUGUACCCUUAUUUCUCCAAAGACAAACAAGCCCAUUUUCUUCCUCUUCAUCUUACGUGUAGAGCGAAGGCCUUAACCAACAAGCUUUUGACUUAUUUCUUUUCUAAAGUACAAAGCAAAAUUCACUUUUCUCAUUUCUUCCUCUGUACUGGCAAUGGUGAGGUUGGACAACAAGUUAUUUUGACUCAUUUGUUCCUAAAUUCAGUCCAAGUUCAUAGCAAUUUCACCUCAUCCUUCUCCUUCCUUGCAUGGCAACAUUUUGGAGAGACAAAUGUCUGAAAAAUUCUUUGCUUACAUGACUCAUCCUUGUGAACAAUUUGUAUAAAUAGGCCUGAAAACUCCAUUGCUAUGCAUACUCAAGCUAAUAUUUCUGGUUUCAUUCCUUUUUCUCCAUUGUUUAUGUUCUCCAAUUCAAGGAACCAACAAUUGAAUUAUACCCAUUUUCUCUCUCCUCCAUUCGACCACCGCGGAGCCACCCCUUGGCCGCUGCUGUGGACCACCACUUUCGGCCGGAAAAUCCAUUCAGCCACCUCUUUCACCUCUCCGACCCGGCGCAGUCGCCGGAUUCCAUUGCAACCCAUGUUGCUAUGGGUAUGGUUGUUGCGUGAGCUUCUUAUCUGCUAUACUCUUGUUCUUGUAAUUUUCCUCCUUGUGUUUACUGCCCAAUUGUAAUUGAGUGGGCCAAAGUCAAACAAAAGAUAUGUUGGGCCUUAAUUAUUUGGAGAAUAAGACAAUAAUCUAGUUGUUGGAGUUGGUCUAAAGAAAUUGGCGGCAAUGAUAGUUUAAGAGUUAAACUUCGGUAUUGAGUUAGACAAUACGGUUAACGAUCGAGGUUCGAUUAAGGAGCUCAAGUUGCUCAAAUGAGAGUUAUUACUGGAGUUGGUAAUUUAUUUUGGAGAUAUCGAGACGAGAAAUUAUUUAUUAUGGAAAUCCUGUUAUUGAGUUUUUGAUUAUGAGAAUAUUGAAUUAUAUUUUAUCUUGGGAAUAUUGUAUUAUUUGUGGAAUAUUAUUGAGGAUUAUUUUAUUUGUGGGCCCCAUACCCACAGGUCCCAGGAUUAAUUAAGCCUAAUUCCGCUGCUAAUGAUCAGUUAAGUACGGUUUAUUACCGGUAAUUAAGGUGCCGAAAAGUUGGGGCGUUACAAAAACUCUAUAUAAAAUACACAUAUC